rnacentral:tRNA from 1 species
GGUCGGCGUGGCGCUGGUGGGAGUGGUGUCGUCGUCGCUGGCGUCGUCGGUGGACUCGUCGUCGUCGGUCGUGUCGUCGGUCGACUC